rnacentral:rRNA from 1 species
GAUGAACGCUGGCGGCGUGCCUAAUACAUGCAAGUCGAGCGAACAGACGAGGAGCUUGCUCCUCUGACGUUAGCGGCGGACGGGUGAGUAACACGUGGAUAACCUACCUAUAAGACUGGGAUAACUUCGGGAAACCGGAGCUAAUACCGGAUAAUAUAUUGAACCGCAUGGUUCAAUAGUGAAAGACGGUUUUGCUGUCACUUAUAGAUGGAUCCGCGCCGCAUUAGCUAGUUGGUAAGGUAACGGCUUACCAAGGCAACGAUGCGUAGCCGACCUGAGAGGGUGAUCGGCCACACUGGAACUGAGACACGGCCGAGACUCCUGCGGGAGGCAGCAGUAGGGAAUCUUCCGCAAUGGGCGAAAGGUUGACGGAGCAACGCCGCGUGAGUGAUGAAGGUCUUCGGAUCGUAAAACUCUGUUAUUAGGGAAGAACAAAUGUGUAAGUAACUAUGCACGUAUUGACGGUACCUAAUCAGAAAGCCACGGCUAACUACGUG